rnacentral:rRNA from 1 species
GAGCGUUAACUACAUCCAUCUACACCUGUGAACUGUUGAUUGACUUCGGUCAAUUGCUUUUACAAACAUUGUGUAAUGAACGUCAUGUUAUUAUAACAAAAAUAACUUUCAACAACGGAUCUCUUGGCUCUCGCAUCGAUGAAGAACGCAGCGAAAUGCGAUAAGUAAUGUGAAUUGCAGAAUUCAGUGAAUCAUCGAAUCUUUGAACGCACCUUGCGCUCUCUGGUAUUCCGGAGAGCAUGCCUGUUUGAGUAUCAUGAAAUCUCAACCAUUAGGGUUUCUUAAUGGCUUGGAUUUGGGCGUUGCCAGUUGCCUGGCUCGCCUUAAAAGAGUUAGCGUGUUUAACUUGUCGUAUCUGGCGUAAUAAGUUUCGCUGGUGUUGACUUGAGAAGUGCGCUUCUAAUCGUCUUCGGACAAUUCUUGAACUCUGGUCUCAAAUCAGGUAGGACUACCCGCUGAACUUAAGCAUAUCAAUAA